UUUUGCUUGAAUCAUCUUCAGGUGCAUCCUAAGAAUCAUGGAAAGUAAAGGUUAAAGAUGAUUGAAACGUAGCAUCAGAAAUCGUAUAAAAGAGAUGAAAAUUGUUCAAUUAAAUCAUUCAAUUCUUGCUAUCAAACUAGUAAACAACUCUAAUAAACUAACUUUCAAUUAACUUGUGUUAAUCACCAACCCAACAAACAAAACAAUGGAAGCCCGAACCAUCAUCGUUUACAUCGCCGCUCUUGCCUCAGUUGUCGCCAUGGCUUACGCUGAUCCUGAACCAAAACCAGAACCAAUCAUUGGCGGCCUUCUUAACAGUGUUCUUGGUGGACGAUGAUUCAAAGGCUUGGUUGGUUUAUCAGUUUUGUUAACCAUCCAUAGUUAAUAAUUGAAUCAUGACUGAUAUUGAAUCAAAAAUGAAUUAAAUAAAGCAUUGAAAAAGCAAA